UACGGAGGGUGCAAACGUUGCUCGGAAUCAUUGGGCGUAAAGCGCACGUAGGCGGCCUGAUAAGUCGGGUGUGAAAGCCCUGGGCUCAACCCAGGAAGUGCACUCGAAACUGUCAGGCUUGAAUAUGGAAGAGGGUCGCGGAAUUCCCGGUGUAGAGGUGAAAUUCGUAGAUAUUGGGAAGAACACCGGUGGCGAAGGCGGCUCACUGGCCCGUUUCUGACGCUCAGGCGCGACAGCGUGGGGAUCAAACAGG
rnacentral:rRNA from 1 species